UACGGGGGGAGCAAGCGUUGUUCGGAUUUACUGGCGUAAAGGGCGCGUAGGCGGUCAGCACAAGUCAGUUGUGAAAUCUCCGGGCUUAACUCGGAAAGGUCAACUGAUACUGUGCGACUAGAGUGCGGAAGGGGCAACUGGAAUUCUCGGUGUAGCGGUGAAAUGCGUAGAUAUCGAGAGGAACACCUGCGGCGAAGGCGGGUUGCUGGCCGACACUGACGCUGAUGCGCGAAAGCCAGGGGAGCGAACGGG
rnacentral:rRNA from 1 species